CGGGCCUUGUACACACCGCCCGUCACGUCAUGAAAGUCGGUAACACCCGAAGCCGGUGGCUUAACCCCUUGUGGGAGGGAGCCGUCGAAGGUGGGAUCGGCGAUUGGGACGAAGUCGUAACAAGGUAGCCGUACCGGAAGGUGCGGCUGGAUCACCUCCUUUCUAAGGAG
rnacentral:rRNA from 1 species